rnacentral:rRNA from 1 species
UACGUAGGGUGCAAGCGUUGUCCGGAAUUAUUGGGCGUAAAGAGCUCGUAGGCGGUUUGUCGCGUCUGCUGUGAAAAUCCAGGGCUUAACCCUGGACCUGCAGUGGGUACGGGCAGACUAGAGUGCGGUAGGGGAGAUCGGAAUUCCUGGUGUAGCGGUGAAAUGCGCAGAUAUCAGGAGGAACACCGGUGGCGAAGGCGGAUCUCUGGGCCGUAACUGAUGCCGAGGAGCGAAAGCGUGGGGAGCGAACAGG